rnacentral:rRNA from 1 species
UACGGAGGGAGCUAGCGUUGUUCGGAAUUACUGGGCGUAAAGCGCACGUAGGCGGCUUUGUAAGUUAGAGGUGAAAGCCCGGGGCUCAACCCCGGAAUUGCCUUUAAGACUGCAUCGCUUGAAUCCAGGAGAGGUGAGUGGAAUUCCGAGUGUAGAGGUGAAAAUUCGUAGAUAUUCGGAAGAACACCAGUGGCGAAGGACGGCUCAC